AGUCCUAUAACGAGCGCAACCCCUAUCGUUAGUUGCCAUCAAGUAAAGUUGGGAACUCUAGCGAAACUGCCGGUGCAAACCGUGAGGAAGGUGGGGAUGACGUCAAAUCAUCACGGCCCUUACGUUCUGGGCUACACACGUGCUACAAUGGCCGGUACAGAAAGCAGCCACUAUGCGAAUAGGAGCUAAUCUUUAAAACCGGUCUCAGUUCGGAUCGCAGUCUGCAACUCGACUGCGUGAAGCUGGAAUCGCUAGUAAUCGGAUAUCAGCCAUGAUCCGGUGAAUACGUUCCCGGGCCUU
rnacentral:rRNA from 1 species